AGACCAGACAGUUAGCAUGCAGGGCCGACAACACGACGAAGAGCGAGGAAAACCAGGGAGCAGGAGGAGGAGGAGGAAGAAGAGCAGGAGGAGGAAGAGGAGGAAGAGGAGAAGCAUCAGAUGAGCCUUCAGCUUUAAACACUUUGCUUCUCCUUCAUGAACCGCUAAGCGACGGUUCGUCUGCGGCUUCAGCAGCAUUAAGGUUACAUCACUAUUAUCACUGUUACUGUUCUGGUGGUUCUGUUGGACCCAGUACGAUCAGAACCGUUCAGAACUUCCUGCAAACGGAGCAGCUGGAUGAUCUGACUGCAGGCGGAAACACAGCGGCGCCUGUUACCACGGUAACAGGCGUGCUCUCCAUGACCCGUUUGCAUCCGACCGGACUGAACGGUUACCUAGCAACAGCUUCCUUCUGUCCUGGUUUUUACCUGGACGGCGACGACAGGAAGGAGAGCCAGAAGUUUACAUACACCUGAUAAAAAGACACGCCCAGCUUUUGUUCCUUCGGUCCGAAGCCGGAUCAGAACCAAACGUCUCUGGUUUCACGUCAGAA